ensembl:snRNA U6 U6 spliceosomal RNA
GCUCACUUCGGCAAAGCAUAUACCAAAAUUGGAUCAAUACAGAGAAGACUAACAUGGCCCCUGUGCAAGGACACAUGCAAAUUCAUGAAGUGCUCCAUAUUUAA